UGGCUCAGGACGAACGCUGGCGGCGUGCCUAAUACAUGCAAGUCGAACGGCUUUUCUAUGGAAGCUUGCUUCCACUGAGAAGAUAGUGGCGAACGGGUGAGUAACACGUGGGUAACCUGCCCAUAAGAGGGGGGAUAACAUCCGGAAACGGGUGCUAAUACCGCAUAGUUUUCUUGGUCGCAUGAUCGGGAAGGAAAGACGGCCUUUGUGCUGUCGCUUAUGGAUGGACCCGCGGCGUAUUAGUUAGUUGGUGAGGUAACGGCUCACCAAGACGAUGAUACGUAGCCGACCUGAGAGGGUGAUCGGCCACAUUGGGACUGAGACACGGCCCAAACUCCUACGGGAGGCAGCAGUAGGGAAUCUUCCGCAAUGGACGAAAGUCUGACGGAGCAACGCCGCGUGAGUGAAAGAAGGUUUUCGGAUCGUAAAACUCUGUUGUCAGAGAAGAACAAGUUGGAGAGUAACUGCUCCAGCCUUGACGGUAUCUGACCAGAAAGCCACGGCUAACUACGUGCCAGCCGCCGC
rnacentral:rRNA from 1 species